AGCGAACGCUGGCGGCAUGCCUAACACAUGCAAGUCGCACGGGGGGGCUUCGGCCUCCCAGUGGCGGACGGGUGAGGAACGCGUAGGGACCUGUCGAGGGGUGGGGGAUAACCGCGGGAAACUGCGGCUAAUACCGCAUGACGCCGCGGCGUGACAGCCGGGGCCAAAGGCGAAAGCCGCCCGCCGAGGGGCCUGCGUCCGAUUAGCUGGUUGGCGGGGUAGCGGCCCACCAAGGCGUCGAUCGGUAGCUGGUCUGAGGGGGUGAUCAGCCACACCGGGACUGAGACACGGCCCGGACUCCUACGGGAGGCAGCAGUGGGGAAUAUUGGACAAUGGGCGCAAGCCUGAUCCAGCAAUGCCGCGUGGGUGAAGAAGGUCUUCGGAUUGUAAAGCCCUUUCGGCGGGGACGAUGGUGACGGUACCCGCAGAAGAAGCCCCGGCUAACUUCGUG
rnacentral:rRNA from 1 species